rnacentral:rRNA from 1 species
AUACGGAGGACCCAAGCGUUAUCCGGAUUUAUUGGGUUUAAAGGGUGCGUAGGCGGAUGUAUAAGUCAGCGGUGAAAUAUUUAAGCUUAACUUUGAAGUUGCCGUUGAUACUGUACGGCUUGAGUGUAUUUGCUGUGGGUGGAAUUCGUGGUGUAGCGGUGAAAUACUUAGAUAUCACGCAGAACAUCGAUUGCGAAGGCAGCUCACAAAACUGUUAUUGACGCUGAUGCACGAAAGUGUGGGUAUCAAACAGGAUUAGAUACCCUGGUAGUCCACACUGUAAACGAUGAAAACUCGCUGUCGGCGAUAUACCGUAGGCGGCCAAGCGAAAGCGAUAAGUAAUCCACCUGGGGAGUACGCCGGCAAGGUUGA